rnacentral:lncRNA from 1 species
CUGGUCAAUGAGUCAUUGAAGAGAUUCAAGACUUUCAAAAUUUCUUUCCAUCUUCUUUCCAAACUUUAAUUUCACAUGAUAUUGUAUCAAUUUUAAUUAUUAUUUUUUUUAUAAUUAUAUGAUAAUUGGCUAAUCUCAUAGAUGUCAGAAUAACGUUGAACCCUACGCUUUGAUAUUUUGAUAUAAAAUUCUGAAUUUUGACAUUAAAUAUAUGUUUGAUUAUCGAAUGAUGGCUAGAAGUUUAAUACUUUUCAAUUACUUGAUCACUCAUUGAAUUAUCUUGCGAUUCUAUAGACAUUCGACAAAAAAGAAUAGAAAUUAAUUCAACACGUAGUAACAAUCAUUUAAAGUCUGAUAGAGGAUUAAGAUAUACUAUUAUGCAUAAUCUUAUGAAUGUUCUUAUUAUUUAAUGUAUCUUUGCAUGCUCGCAUCGCUUAUAUAGUUAUAGGAUGGUUAUAUGUGAGGAUAAGUUUAGCUCUAUAUGAGAGAUCAGUAAACAAAUUAGGAGAAUUAAUCUUCAUAUCCAAAUAGGAGUUGUCUAAGUUUUGAAUUGAUAUUCAAGUAGGUGAAUGUAGAGGGAUUUGAAGUCCUAGUGUUCGUCAAUUACUUGGGUUUCAUAAUGCUUACAAUUAAUUAGUUAGAGUAGUUACAAUUAAAUAAAUCUCAUCCAUCAUCUAAUCUUGCUAUUCAAUUAAAGUUGGUUUAGUAAAACUAGAUUAAAUACUUAGUUUGUGUUAGAAAGAUACUCUACUCAUGUUUUAUUACUUGGCUACUGUACCAUGCACUUGCAAUAUUUUAGCAAAUAAAUUUUUUGACAACAUUGCCAAUGACAAUGUUACUUUUUCUUCUCUUUUUGCCACCGAUCUACUUAUUUUUUCUGAUUUCAUUGACAAGAACAGAGCAAAGCGAAAGAUCGAAAGCAAAUAGAGACAUGGGAUCCUGAAUAUGAUUAAGAGAAUAUGCCUAUGAGGGAGUUCACAGCCCCUAAAUCACUUUCAAUUGGCUAUAAUAAUCUCCAAAAUGGAUACACAAUGGAACAACUAAAGAAGAAUACGAUGAAGAGAUCGAUGAGUUAUUCAUGACAAAGCACUAUGAGUCAGUUGUAGUCAAUGAAGAAAGAAUUGGCAUGAAACAUCCAACUUCAUUGAUAUCGUGAUAAAAUUCGGUGUUCAUGUGUGUAUGAAUCAAGUAACGUAGGCAAGUCAUAUGAUAUUGAUGGCAUAGUCAACCUACACUUAGUAUGCAAACUAAGAAAGAUCUUUAAAACUAUAUUCAAAGUGCCAUGAAGUAAUUGUAAAAAAGUUGGGCUAGGAAUAUAAACAAGCUCUUAUUGUGG